GUGGGGGAUAUUGCACAAUGGAGGAAACUCUGAUGCAGCGAUGCCGCGUGGAGGAAGAAGGUUUUCGGAUUGUAAACUCCUGUCUUCGGGGACGAUAAUGACGGUACCCGAGGAGGAAGCUCCGGCUAACUACGUGCCAGCAGCCGCGGUAAUACGUAGGGAGCAAGCGUUGUCCGGAAUUACUGGGUGUAAAGGGAGCGUAGGCGGGAUAGCAAGUCAGGUGUGAAAACUAUGGGCUCAACCCAUAGACUGCACUUGAAACUGCUGUUCUUGAGUGAAGUAGAGGUAAGCGGAAUUCCUAGUGUAGCGGUGAAAUGCGUAGAUAUUAGGAGGAACAUCAGUGGCGAAGGCGGCUUACUGGGCUUUUACUGACGCUGAGGCUCGAAAGCGUGGGGAGCAAACAGGAUUAGAAACCCUAGUAGUCC
rnacentral:rRNA from 1 species